GUCUUGCUGAUGAUGAUUUUAUACACAAAUGUCUGAACAUAUGAAUUCGUUGUGAUUCAGCUUUUAGCUGAGGCAAGAC
rnacentral:snoRNA from 1 species